rnacentral:lncRNA from 1 species
AGGAAAUGCACUACGAAAUAACUGUGUACUCGGACCACAUGAUCAUGGUUUCGUUGAAAGUGUUUUAUAUCGAUCCUCACCGCGUUGGUGCACAAUGUUCGACUGAAACUAUAUUUUUUGCAUUAUCAAAUCUAAAUGAGAAAUACCAUAGAAUUAGUAAUCAUAAAUCAUAGAAAAGACAAGACAAGACAAGACAAGACAAGACAAGACAAGACAACACAAUAUUUUAUUUGAGUCUCACCUCUUAUAAAACAUUUACAUAAUAUUACAAAUUUCCAAUAUAAAACAAGAG